CUCCGACAAUAACUACAAGCCAACAAGUUGUGAGUUCGUCAACAUCAAACAUUAUGAAGUAAUCGACAUUGUAAAAAGCAGUGGUUCACUAAGUAUUUUGAAGUUGCUAGUGUGAACUAAACAACGCAUCCUAAGCUUAAUUGGGCGAGGCCACGGAAAAAGAAACCUUCUUCUGCCAUGCAGCGUAAGUCCGUGCCUAUCCGCAACUUGUUUGUUGCAAAUUUUUCAUACGAAAUCACGGAUGAGGAUCUUAAGGAGUUUUUCAAUUCUGAUAAUGCCAAUGUUGUUUUUGCGGAAAUUAUAUUUCAUGAAAAUCCAAGGUCUGUUGGGUAUGGAUUUGUAUUCUCCAUUUCCAAGGAGGCUGAAGCUACUCUCACUGCUUUUGAAGGAAAGUUAUGUAUGGGAAGACCAAUUUGAGUGGCUCCUAGCAGAAGAUUUUUGAGACAAGCAACGAAAAUGAGUACUCAAUUGGCGAAUGCGUCAAAUAAACCAAACCCUGAUGCUGAACAAGCAAAAGCCCUUGAAGCUUGAUGGUGAAUUUUCUUGGACAGUUUAGGUUUUUCA